AGUGAACGCUGGCGGCAUGCCUAACACAUGCAAGUCGAACGGCAGCACAGUAAGCUCUUGCUCUUACGGGUGGCGAGUGGCGGGCGGGUGACGAAUACAUCGGAAUCUACUUUUUCUUGGGGGAUAACGUAGGGAAACUUACGCUAAUACCGCAUACGUCCUACGGGUGAAAGCAGUGGUUCUUCGGACCUUGCCCGAUUCAAUUAGCCGAUGUCGCAUUAGCUAGUUGGCGAGGUAAGGGCCCACCAAGGCGACGAUCCGUAGCUGAUCUGAGAGGAUGAUCAGCCACACUGGAACUGAGACACGGUCCAGACUCCUACGGGAGGCAGCAGUGGGGAAUAUUGGACAAUGGGCGAAAGCCUGAUCCAGCCAUACCGCGUGGGUGAAGAAGGUCUUCGGGUUGUAAAGCCCUUUUGUUGGGAAAGAAAAGCAGCAGGUUAAUCCACGGCUGUUCUGACGGUACCCAAAGAAUAAGCACCGGCUAACUUCGUG
rnacentral:rRNA from 1 species